UGGGGUGUAGCCAAGUGGUAAGGCAGCUGGUUUUGAUCCAGCCUACCGGUGGUUCGAAUCCAUCCACCCCAACCA
rnacentral:tRNA from 1 species